rnacentral:hammerhead_ribozyme from 1 species
AUCCAGCUGAAGAGCCCCAAACAGGACGAAACGCGCGUCCUGGAU